ACUCCAGGCUGAAAAUCAGAAUAAAUCAGAGCUCAGAGCUGGACUUUACUGUAAUGGACUUUAUUAAAGCAGAUUGUACUGUAGUGCAGGGGGGCUUUACUGUAAAAUAUCACCAUCUCAUACUGUAACGUCUAAAAAGUAAAUCUACACACACUGACGCACCAUGACUAACUUUUCCUGCAUCUGCACCGUGUGGAUCAGUGCCUGGGUGGACCUCCUCUCUGCAGAACCUGAGAUCAGUGUAUCUGGCCCAGUGGGUUCUACAGCUGUCCUGCCGUGUCAACUGACGAGUGGAGACACUGAGAGACUGUACAUUGGAUGG